CGCGUCAGCUACCAUGCAGUCGAGGGGAAACGGCAUUAUGUGCUUGCACAUUUUGGACGUCGACCGGCGCACGGGUGAGUAUCGCGUAUCCAACCUGCCCUUUACUUGGGGAUACCCCGUUGAAAGACGGCCUAAUACCCGAUGUAAUUCAUUGAUGGCAUCAGAUAUGAAUAAAAGAUUUAUCGGUAAAGGAUGGGGAUGCGUCUGAUUAGCUUGUUGGUGAGGUAAAGGCUCACCAAGGCGACGAUCAGUAGGGGUUCUGAGAGGAAGGUCCCCCACAUUGGAACUGAGACACGGUCCAAACUCCUACGGGAGGCAGCAGUGAGGAAUAUUGGUCAAUGGGCGCAAGCCUGAACCAGCCAAGUAGCGUGCAGGAAGACGGCCCUAUGGGUUGUAAACUGCUUUUAUACGAGAAUAAUUUGAUGCACGUGUGCGUUAUUGCAUGUAUCGUAUGAAUAAGGACCGGCUAAUUCCGUGCCAGCAGCCGCGGUAAUACGGAAGGUCCAGGCGUUAUCCGGAUUUAUUGGGUUUAAAGGGAGUGUAGGCGGUUUGUUAAGCGUGUUGUGAAAUUUAGGUGCUCAACAUUUAACUUGCAGCGCGAACUGUCAGACUUGAGUACACGCAACGUAUGCGGAAUUCAUGGUGUAGCGGUGAAAUGCUUAGAUAUCAUGAAGAACUCCGAUUGCGAAGGCAGCAUACGGGAGUGUAACUGACGCUUAAGCUCGAAGGGUGCGGGUAUCGAACAGGAUUAGAUACCCUGGUAGUCCGCACAGUAAACGAUGGAUGCCCGCUGUUAGCGCCUGGCGUUAGCGGCUAAGCGAAAGCAUUAAGCAUCCCACCUGGGGAGUACGCCGGCAACGGUGAAACUCAAAGGAAUUGACGGA
rnacentral:rRNA from 1 species